rnacentral:rRNA from 1 species
UACGAAGGGGGCUAGCGUUGUUCGGAAUUACUGGGCGUAAAGCGCGCGCAGGCGGUCUUCCAAGUCAGCGGUGAAAGCCCGGAGCUCAACUCCGGAACUGCCAUUGAAACUGUAAGACUUGAGGAUGAGAGAGGUGAGUGGAAUUCCCAGUGUAGAGGUGAAAUUCGUAGAUAUUGGGAAGAACACCGGUGGCGAAGGCGGCUCACUGGCUCAUAUCUGACGCUCAGGCGCGACAGCGUGGGGAUCAAACAGG